rnacentral:tRNA from 1 species
AAGUUUAGGUUAACCAAACCAAGGGCCUUCAAAGCCCUAAAUAGGGCUGAGGCCCUAACUUCUG